rnacentral:rRNA from 1 species
GAUGAACGCUGGCGGCGUGCCUAAUACAUGCAAGUCGAGCGAAUGGAUUAAGAGCUUGCUCUUAUGAAGUUAGCGGCGGACGGGUGAGUAACACGUGGGUAACCUGCCCAUAAGACUGGGAUAACUCCGGGAAACCGGGGCUAAUACCGGAUAACAUUUUGAACCGCAUGGUUCGAAAUUGAAAGGCGGCUUCGGCCGUCACUUAUGGAUGGACCCGCGUCGCAUUAGCUAGUUGGUGAGGUAACGGCUCACCAAGGCAACGAUGCGUAGCCGACCUGAGAGGGUGAUCGGCCACACUGGGACUGAGACACGGCCCAGACUCCUACGGGAGGCAGCAGUAGGGAAUCUUCCGCAAUGGACGAAAGUCUGACGGAGCAACGCCGCGUGAGUGAUGAAGGCUUCCGGGUCGUAAAACUCUGUUGUUAGGGAAGAACAAGUGCUAGUUGAAUAAGCUGGCACCUUGACGGUACCUAACCAGAAAGCCACGGUUAACUACGUGCCAGCAGCCGCAGUAA